rnacentral:miRNA from 1 species
UCCCUCUCGGCCGGUGAGAGUGUACACUCUCAUCGACCGAGAGGGAUUCCUCUCGGCCGGUGAAAGAGUACACUCUCAUGUACGUGUACUCUUUCACCGGCCGAGAGGAAUCCCUCUCGGUCGAUGAGAGUGUACACUCUCACCGGCCGAGAGGAA